rnacentral:rRNA from 1 species
GGGAAAUGUGGUGUUAGGGAGGAUCCGUUUAUCCCGAGGUCGUGCGGCGCGUCCAAGUCCUUCUUGAACGGGGCCACAGCCCAUAGAGGGUGCCAGGCCCGUAGCGACCGCUGCCGAUCGCGGGAGGAUCUCUCCUCAGAGUCGGGUUGCUUGAGAGUGCAGCCCUAAGUGGGUGGUAAACUCCAUCUAAGGCUAAAUAUGACCACGAGACCGAUAGCGAACAAGUACCGUGAGGGAAAGUUGAAAAGCACUUUGAAGAGAGAGUUCAAGAGUACGUGAAACCGUUCAGGGGUAAACCUGAGAAACCCGAAAAGUCGAAAGGGGAAAUUCAUUCGCGUCUCGACCGUCGGAGUGGAGCGAUCGAGCGACGGACGGCGUACGCGUCGUCCGCGCCUUUCGUUUUACGUUUCGGCGUCGAACGCGUGCACUUUUCCCCUAGUAGGACGUCGCGAUCCGUUGGGCGUCGGUCUAAGGUCCGCGGUGGAGCCCGGGCGUGCGUCUUCGGACGUUUGCGCUCGGACCCGCGGUAUCCCGGCCGACUCGCUCGACGGUAUACAGAUGGCGCGGGGCCGCUAUUUCAAUUAGCGUUCGGCCCGCGGCAAGCGCGUACGGUGUUGUCGACGAUCGGACCUGGUGCCGGUCUCGUCCCCGGACGACUGUUGGCCGCGGUUUUCUCGAACAGACCUCGUUACGAAACGCCGAUCUGCGACGCUAUAGCUUUGGGUACUUUCAGGACCCGUCUUGAAACACGGACCAAGGAGUCUAGCAUGUGCGCGAGUCAUUGGGACAUAACUAAACCUAAAGGCGCAAUGAAAGUGAAGGUCCGUCUCGCGCGGACCGAGGGAGGAUGGGCGAUUCGUAUUCCGUACGGUCGCU